UACGUAGGUGGCGAGCGUUAUCCGGAAUGAUUGGGCGUAAAGCGAGCGCAGGUGGUUUAUUAAGUCUGGUGUAAAAGGCAGUGGCUCAACCAUUGUAUGCAUUGGAAACUGGUAGACUUGAGUGCAGGAGAGGAGAGUGGGAUUCCAUGUGUAGCGGUGAAAUGCGUAGAUAUAUGGAGGAACACCGGUGGCGAAAGCGGCUCUCUGGCCUGUAACUGACACUGAGGCUCGAAAGCGUGGGGAGCAAACAGG
rnacentral:rRNA from 1 species